rnacentral:rRNA from 1 species
AACGAACGCUGGCGGCAUGCCUAACACAUGCAAGUCGAACGAGAAGUCCCGCAAGGGAUUGUAAAGUGGCGCACGGGUGAGUAACACGUGGAUAAUCUGCCCUUAAGUUUGGAAUAACCCAUCGAAAGAUGGGCUAAUACCGGAGAGACCACAGGAGCUUAAGCUCCAGGGGUUAAAGGUGGGGACCGUAAGGCCUAUCGCUUUUGGAUGAGUCCGCGCACUAUCAGCUAGUUGGUGAGGUAAUGGCUCACCAAGGCUAUGACGGUUAGCUGGUCUGUAGAGGAUGAUCAGCCACACUGGAACUGAGACACGGUCCAGACUCCUACGGAGGCAGCAGUGGGGAAUAUUGGACAAUGGGCGAAAGCCUGAUCCAGCAAUGCCGCGUGAGUGAUGAA